GGAUGUGAGGGCGAUCUGGCUGCGACAUCUGUCACCCCAUUGAUCGCCAAGGUUGAUUCGGCAGAUCUGGCUGGCUAGGUGGGUGUCCCCUUCCUCCCUCACAGCUCCAUGUGCGUCCCUCCCAAAGCUGCGCGCUCAGUGGAAGAGGACAACUAUCCCAGGUAGAAGGAGUGUACCGAUCUUCGGUCAAGGGUAUAUGAUAGCUGUGCUCCCCUGCUAGAACCUCCAUACAUCUUUUUCUUAUAUAGAUUCUAUAUUUAACAGAGUUGGAUGGUAUUUUUGUAUUAACAUUAUUAUUAUUAUUAUUAUUAUUAUUAUUAUUAUUAUU
rnacentral:snRNA from 1 species